rnacentral:rRNA from 1 species
CGGCGGACGGGUGAGUAAUGCCUAGGAAUCUGCCUGGUAGUGGGGGACGAACGUUUCGAAAGGAACGCUAAUACCGCAUACGUCCUACGGGAGAAAGCAGGGACCUUCGGGCCUUGCGCUAUCAGAUGAGCCUAGGUCGGAUUAGCUAGUUGGUGAGGUAAUGGCUCACCAAGGCGACGAUCCGUAACUGGUCUGAGAGGAUGAUCAGUCACACUGGAACUGAGACACGGUCCAGACUCCUACGGGAGGCAGCAGAC